rnacentral:rRNA from 1 species
GACGAACGCUGGCGGCGUGCUUAACACAUGCAAGUCGAACGGGAUCCGGGCUUUCGGGUUUGGUGAGAGUGGCGAACGGGUGAGUAACACGUGAGUAACCUGCCCCCUUCUUUGGGAUAACGUCGGGAAAUCGGCGCUAAUACUGGAUAUUCUUGCUGCAUCGCAUGGUGUGGUUUGGAAAGGGUUUCUGGUGGGGGAUGGGCUCGCGGCCUAUCAGCUUGUUGGUGGGGUGAUGGCCUACCAAGGCUUUGACGGGUAGCCGGCCUGAGAGGGUGUCCGGCCUCACUGGGACUGAGACACGGCCCAGACUCCUACGGGAGGCAGCAGUGGGGACGAUUGCACGAUGGGCGCAAGCCUGAUGCAGCGACGCCGCGUGAGGGAUGACGGCCUUCGGGUUGUAAACCUCUUUCAGUAUGGAACAAGGAUCCUUCUUUUGGGGGGUUUGAGGGUACGUGCAGAAGAAGCGCCGGCUAACUACGUG